UACGUAGGGGGCAAGCGUUGUCCGGAUUUAUUGGGCGUAAAGAGCGUGUAGGCGGCCAGGUAGGUCCGUUGUGAAAACUCGAGGCUCAACCUCGAGACGUCGGCGGAAACCCUCUGGCUAGAGUCCGGAAGGGGCAACUGGAAUUCCCAGUGUAGCGGUGAAAUGCGUAGAUAUUGGGAAGAACACCUGAGGCGAAGGCGGGUUGCUGGGCCGACACUGACGCUGAGGCGCGAAAGCCAGGGGAGCAAACGGG
rnacentral:rRNA from 1 species